rnacentral:rRNA from 1 species
UUUCCGUAGGUGAACCUGCGGAAGGAUCAUUGUCGAUGCCUAUCAAACUGGACGACCCGCGAAUCGGUUAAGACCACCGGGGAGGCGGAGGGCGUGCGUCGCCCCGAGCCCCCCCGCCCGGGGACGCUUGCAGUCUUGCGCUGCUUGUGCUCGCCUGGAAAAAUAACAAACCUCGGCGCCGGACGCGUCAAGGAACUCGAACGAACUAGCGUGCUCCCGGCGGCCCGGAGACGGCCCCCGCCCGGAGAGCGUCGCGACGAUUGUAUCCAAAACGACUCUCGGCAACGGAUAUCUCGGCUCUCGCAUCGAUGAAGAACGUAGCGAAAUGCGAUACUUGGUGUGAAUUGCAGAAUCCCGUGAACCAUCGAGUCUUUGAACGCAAGUUGCGCCCGAAGCCACUAGGCCGAGGGCACGUCUGCCUGGGUGUCACACAACGUUGCCCCCACUCCACCGCCUCUCAGGGGGCGUGUCGGGCGGGGCGGAUGCUGGCCUCCCGUGAGCUCCUUGCCUCGCGGAUGGCCGAAAGACGAGUCUGCGGUGUUGGCCGCCGCGACGGACGGUGGAUGAGUGAACCUCGAGACCGGUCGCGCGUGCGUCUUCCCGUCAAGCAGGCUGCGAGACCCUGCCGCGUCGCUCGUUGCGAGCGCUUCCGACGCGACCCCAGGUCAGGCGGGGCUACCCGCUGAGUUUAA